UACGAAGGUGGCAAGCGUUGUUCGGAUUCACGUGGCGUACAGGGUGUGUGAGGCGGUUUUGGUAAGCCUUCUGUUAAAGCUUCGGGCCCCAACCUGGAAAGGCGCAGAGGGUACUGCCAGGCGUAGAGGGGCGGGAGAGGAGCGCGGAAUUCCCGGUGUAGCGGUGAAAUGCGUAGAGAUCGGGGAGGAAGGCCGGUGGCGAAGGCGGCGCUCUGGAACGUACCUGACGCUGAGACGACGAAAGCGUGGGGAGCCAAACAGG
rnacentral:rRNA from 1 species